CGGGCGUGCCGUGGCCGUCCUCCUGGGCAGCCCCAUUCUGGGCGAGGUGGCCCUGUGGACACCCCUAAGCGGCAGCCUCUCCAGUCCGGCGUCUGAAGCCUCGCCAGCCGGCAUACCCUAUUGUUCCCGUACCCUCUGCUGGCGCCCCGCACCCACCUCCAUCCGGGCUGCGGCUCCCAGAUUUGUGGUCUUGGCCCCAGGCCGCUCGGAGACAGUCUGUGAUUGGAAGACUGAAAGGAACAGGCAAGACUUAAAAUCGUUCGCUCCAACCUGCAUUUACAGAUUCCUUACGGUGGCUCUCGUGCCGUAGGGUGUGUAAUUUAGCCCAUCACGCGGGCCGUGCAAAGUGCUUGAUAGUAUGUAAGGCGCUCUCUCGUCAGUCGGGUUUAAUCCUCCAAACAGCCAGAGCGACAGAGAGAGAGAGAGUUCCCAACUACUGGUUCAUCCCCAAAAAUGCCUACAACAGCUGGCACUGAGCCAGGCCAAAGCCAGGAGCCAACAACCCACUCCAGGUGUCAGGGUUUCAACCACUGAGCCGUCACCAGCUGCUUCCCAGGGUGUGCGUUAGCAGGACACUGGAUGGAAAGCAGAGGAACCAGGACUUGAACCUAGGCACUCCUACAUAGGAUGCUGGAAUCCAAGUAGCUUCAUUGCUAGGUCAAAUGCCCACUGUGAUACACUGCUUUCUAUAUGUCAGGCAAUGUGUUCUGUGCUGGGAAGCACUGUUCAACAAGACAAGGUGUCUGCUUUGUGGGAGCUUAGAGUCCCACAGGAGAGAAAGACAUUUAACACCUAAAUAAGCAUUUAAUCUCAACUGUGAUAAGCAAUGUGAAGGCAGGAAAGCCUUCCCAGAGGCAGUGACAUUGAGCUGAUAUGGAAAGGAUGAAUAGCAACUGAGUGAAGAUGGGGGGAGAUCACCCUGGGCAGAGGGAACAGUGUCUGCCAAGACUCCGAGGGAGGAAGGAGCAGGGUUCAUCUGAGGAACUGAAAGGCCGCCUUGUUGUUGUGCUGGGAACGAGGGGGAAGUGCCUGUAGCUGCUGCAGUGAGGCCUGCAGCUCAGGCUGGGCCAGAGAGGCUGUGUGAAAAAUUUAGGUCUUUAUCCUAAAAAAGAAGGAGGAGGAUUUUAAGCUCUCAAAUGCUGAGAAUAGCAUUUUUAAAAGAUUUCCUGGGGCUGGGGUGCGAAUGGUUUAGAAAGGGGCUAGAGGAGGCUGUUCAGACUGGAGAUUAUUGCAACUCUCUAGGGAAGUGCUGGUGGCAACUGGAACUUUGUAAACAACAUCGUAAAUGUGAGAGUACUUCAGGAAACUCUUGGCCAACUAGAAUUAAAGAAUAAUACACAUUUUCCAUGAACUUUCGAAAGCACCCAUCUAAAGCUGACUGAGCUACGGUUCUUUUCCUUGGAGAAAAUCGAUGAGGGAGAGCAAUCGAGAAACAAAGGAUUGUGUGUGGUGAGCAUUACUUGAAAUAACGCCCAAAUAACUGGAGAGGCUCCAGGGAGAGAGAGCGUGAAGAUGGAAGGUACAUUACUGACCUGUUGCCACAUUUACUCCAGAAUGGAGCAGUGUAAAGUAACAUUUACCAUGUCACCGUUUCUGUGGUCCCACAAUGCAGGCCUGGGAGCUUCCUCCACAAAGUCUCUCAAGAGGUUUCAGUUAGCUUGUCAGCUGCCUGUCCUAAAGGCUUGACUGGAGGGAGAUCCACUUCCAAGUUCACUCAUGUGAAUGUUAGAGAACUUUGCUGUCUCCUAGCAUGGGCCUCUCCCCUCAGCUGUCUCACAAAACAGUAGCUGGCUUCCCUCCACAUGAAUAACCAAGAGAGAGAGCAAGAGAACAAGAGUGUGGCAGAGACAGCACCCUUGGACAGAAAACAUAGACUUAUAACUUAAACUCACAAAUGAUAUGCCAUCACCUCCGCCAUACUCUAUUGGGAGUCAAUAAGCCUGGUCUGUAAUCAAGGAAAGGGAAUUUCCAAAGGUGUGGCUACCAGGAGGUGGGAAACACUGACGUUCAUCCUUCGUGGCUGCCAUCCAUCCAUAGAGAAGGCAAACCCUUGAAGUGAUUGUGUUGGAGUUCCCCUGGAGUACCUCAGGAGGAAGGACAUUCCAGUUCUGGAAGAUAGAAGUCUGAGAUCAAGGUGACAGCAGGGGUCCUCUAAGACCUCCAGCACCUAACCACCAGAGGGUAGAAGAAAAGCUUUUCUCCCCUACAAGGGCAAUGGUCACAGAAAGAGACAGAGGCAGAGGCAGAGAGACAGGAAGACAGAAACAGAGAUCUUCUUUCCAUUGGCCCAUUCCCCAAAUGCCGGCAAAAGCAGGGGCUACACAGAGAUGAAGCAGGAGCCUCAGAGUCCACCUGGAUCUCCCACGUGGAUGGCAGGGAACCAGUACUUCAGCCAUCAUCUGCUUCCCGCAGUGUGCCUUAGUGUGAAGCUGUAUAGGAAGUGGAACAGCCAGAACUCCAGCCAGGUACUUCGUUAUGGGGUACAGGUGUCCUAAGUGGGGAGGACUUACACUGCAGGGCC